rnacentral:tRNA from 1 species
GCCCGAUUAGUUCAGCUGGAUAGAAUGUCUGCCUACGGAGCAGAUGGUCGUAGGUUCGAAUCCUGCGUCGGUUA